UACGGAAGGCAGCAGUGGGGAAUAUUGCACAAUGGGCGCAAGCCUGAUGCAGCCAUGCCGCGUGUAUGAAGAAGGCCUUCGGGUUGUAAAGUACUUUCAGCGGGGAGGAAGGCGAUGCGGUUAAUAACCGCGUCGAUUGACGUUACCCGCAGAAGAAGCACCGGCUAACUCCGUGCCAGCAGCCGCGGUAAUACGGAGGGUGCAAGCGUUAAUCGGAAUUACUGGGCGUAAAGCGCACGCAGGCGGUCUGUUAAGUCAGAUGUGAAAUCCCCCGGGCUUAACCUGGGAACUGCAUUUUGAAACUGGCAGGCUUGAGUCUUGUAGAGGGGGUAGAAUUCCAGGUGUAGCGGUGAAAUGCGUAGAGAUCUGGAGGAAUCCGGUGGCGAAGGCGGCCCCUGGACAAAGCUGACGCUCAGGGUGCGAAAGCGUGGGGAGCAAACAGAAUUAGAUACC
rnacentral:rRNA from 1 species